CACGUAGGCACCAAGCGUUGUCCGGAUUUAUUGGGCGUAAAGAGCUCGUAGGCGGUUCGGUAAGUCGGGUGUGAAAACUUUGGGCUCAACCCAAAGCCUGCACUCGAUACUGCUGUGACUUGAGUCCGGUAGGGGAGUGGGGAAUUCCUGGUGUAGCGGUGGAAUGCGCAGAUAUCAGGAGGAACACCGGUGGCGAAGGCAGGUCUCUGGGCUGACACUGACGCUCAUGCACGAAAGCGUGGGGAGCAAACAGG
rnacentral:rRNA from 1 species